GUGGUACCUGAAAAUCGGGUACAGUAGGCUGACAGAUUUGUGGCCGGAUUCAGGCCGGAGUCGCUGGCUUCAAGUGUUUCCUCAUCCACAGCGGCAUGGAGGAGUUUCCACAUGUGACUGAGAGUGACCUCCACAUGGCCAUGAAGCAGCUGCAGGGCACAGGAAGUGUUCUCCUGUUUCAUGCAGAGAAAGAUCUUCAGCUAAGACCAGAGGAGACCAGCGAUAUUACCCGAUCGAUCAUGGUGCGCGGGACACCCGCUGAUCGGAGAUGCUGCCCCG